GAUGUUGAAAGAAGAAAUAUUAAAUCUUAAGACACAUAUGGAAAACAAUAUGGUAGAACUUAGUAAACUACAAGAAUAUAAAUCGGAGCUAGAUGAAAAGGCAAUGCAGGCAGUAGAAAAAUUAGUAGAAAUCCACUUACAGGAACGAGCACAAUAUGAAAAACAAUUAGAGCAGUUAAACAAGGAUAAUAUGGCUUCACUAAGUAAGAAGGAACUCACACUUAAAGAUGUGGAAUGUAAAUUCUCAGAAAUGAAAACUGCUUAUGAAGAGGUUACAACCGAAUUAGAAGAAUAUAAUAAGGAAGCCUUUGCAGCAGCAUUGAAAGAUAACAAUUCCAUGUCAAAAAAAUUAAUGAAAUCGAAUAAGAAAAUAGCAACGAUCAGCAUGGAGCUCCUUAUGGAGAAAGAGCGGAUGAAAUAUUUUCUCAGCACUCUUCCUACAAGGCGAGACCCAGAGUCACCUUGUGUUGAAAAUCUUACUAGUAUAGGACUCAACAGAAAAUAUAUUCUCCAAACACCCAUAAGAAUUCCUAUUUCAAGCCCACAGACUUCAAAUAACUUCAAGAACUCCUUGACUGCGAUGGAGCCGGACUAUGUAGAACAGAUAACUAGAGAAACAAAGAGAACUGUUGCUGUGUUGGACACUUGCUCCCAUCUACUUACUUCUCUAUAAUCCACUGCCAUGGAAUGAGUGAUUUUUCUUAGAAGCAGAGGUGGAGCCACUGAGGAAGCACAGGCCAGCCCUCCCCAGCACAUACUCACUGGUCCCCAACAGAAGAACCGCUGCCGCCUCCAUGAGGCUCCCAUUGUGGUGGGUUGUGUCACCCCACAAUGUCACUGUUGCUAAGCCCCCAUCGCCUCUGUGUUGUGGAGCAGUUAGAGACACACAGCCGUGUCUGUGAGUGGCUCUGCGUGAAGGACCAUUUUCUAGGUGAGAGGCACAUCUCAACACAGCUGACUGAUCAGACUCAGCUGCUUCCUGCUCCCUCCAUGGACCUGCACAGAAUUGUCCCAUGUUUCUGUUUGUUUGGGCACCACUGAGGAAGGAAGCAUGAAGGACGCAGAGCCAUUUUGCAAACCCUGGUCAGAAUGAAACAUUCCUUGGGAACUCGGGCCAUGAGAAGCAUCCUUCCUGACCACCUGACUGCGGAAACAUCCUUAUCGCAUCCUCCCGGGCGAAGGCCCAACAGCCUGACUGCAGGAACAUCCUUGCCAUAUCCUGCCGGGCAGCAAGCUCUACCGCCCAGACCCCUCCUUCCCAGUCCCAUGAUCGCCCCAGCCUGUGAGCGGCAGUUGGUGAUGGCACUAAGCUGAUUUCCUCCUCUGCAGGGUUUUGCUAGUAAUAAAGGUGUUGCUGUUGAAGCCACCAA
rnacentral:lncRNA from 1 species